UGAUUUUUUUGGCAUGAACCAUUAUACAACAAACAGGGUUGUUAACGACGAUCCAGAAGUUAUAGCAAAGCAAAAUGGUAGUUAUUGGACAGAUCGUGGAGCUUGGGUGGAUUCUGAUCCGGCCUGGCCUGGUUCUGGUUCAUCUUGGUUGAAAGUUGUACCAUGGGGAAUCAGGAAAAUUCUAAAUUGGGUGAAAAAUCAUUACGGAGACCGAGAAAUAUUCAUCACAGAAAAUGGGGUCUCUGAUAAUAACCAGACUUUAGAUGAUGUCAGUCGAGUGUAUUUUUACACUCAUUAUAUCAACGAGGUUCUAAAAGCCGUGAAACUGGAUGGGGUUAAAGUUAUUGGCUAUACCGCGUGGUCUGUCAUGGAUAACUUUGAAUGGCAAAGUGGAUAUACUGAAUAUUUUGGGAUUUAUCAAGUGAAUUUCUCUGAUCCCCAGCGAAUAAGAAAACCUAAAGCAUCGGCUGCUUUGAUUCGCGAA